UGCUUGGGUAGCUCAGUUGGUAGAGCGCUUGCCCUCGAAUGGCAAGGGUCCCGAGUUCGAGUCUCGGUCCGGCAC
rnacentral:tRNA from 1 species